rnacentral:rRNA from 1 species
GGAUUAGAUACCCUGGUAGUCCACGCCGUAAACGCUGUCUACUAGCUGUAUGUUGUUUUAUAACGAUGUGUAGCGAAGCUAACGCGCUAAGUAGACCGCCUGGGGAGUACGGCCGCAAGGUUAAAACUCAAAUGAAUUGACGGGGGCCCGCACAAGCGGUGGAGCAUGUGGUUUAAUUCGAUGCAACGCGAAGAACCUUACCAUCCCUUGACAUCCAGUGAAGUUACUAGAGAUAGUUUCGUGCCUUCGGGAACACUGAGACAGGUGCUGCAUGGCUGUCGUCAGCUCGUGCCG